GACGAAGGGGGCUAGCGUUGUUCGGAAUUACUGGGCGUAAAGGGCGUGUAGGCGGAUGCAUAAGUCUGGUGUAAAAUCCCUCGGCUCAACCGAGGAAGGCCAUCAGAUACUGUGUAUCUUGAGUGCGGGAGGGGAGAAUGGAACUCUUGGUGGAGCGGUGAAAUGCGUAGAUAUCAAGAGGAACGCCGGUGGCGAAAGCGGUUCUCUGGCCCGUUACUGACGCUGAGGCGCGAAAGCUAGGGGAGCAAACGGG
rnacentral:rRNA from 1 species